AAUCAAUACUAGUCGGCUUUACAUAAACAGCUGUUGGACAAGUUUAUGCAAUAUUUUCAUGUCUUUCUAUUAUUUGUAUUUGAUCAGAGCUGUAAGAGUUUUGCUGUUUGAAUUAUGUGUUGGUUAUGAUAGAAAUCGGAUCUAAUUUUCAAUAAAGUUUGGAAUACACAAAGAAAUAUUAAAAGAAUGUAAUUAUUGAUGAAAUUCAGAUAAGAUCUAAUUUUCAUUACAAUUUGGAUUGUACAUAGAUAAAGAUAGGAAGUAUAAGUAUUAAUAAACUGAAUAAUUGUUGAAGUGUCAUCCUGCAUAUCAUGAAAUAUAAAAAUCCUAGCAACACCAGUAAGCAACAUGAAGACGAUAGGCGCUGGAGUAGUAACCUGUAGUGGUUGAUACAUUUUCCAUAGUGAAUGCUGUUUUAUUCUUUAUUCACUUAGAUUGUAUCUUUAUGGAAGUAGUGUCAACUACAACACAAGUCAUCUCAAACAUGGAGAAAAAAGAAUGCUGACAGUGUCUGUAAGUUAAGGUAUUAUAAUGAUGUUUGCAUGAAUGGAAAGUUAUGAUACUGUAACUCUACUAAAUUGUACUUCCAAAGGUGAAAAACAUCAAUCAACUUUUAUCAAUUGGUAUUGAAAAAGUUUACAACAACACUAUUAUCCCUUACCAUUGUUUUUGAUCAGAGUUGGAAAUGUCGCUGAGAAGUGGUUGUGAUUUUUGAAGUAAGUAAUUCGUGUUUAGCAUCGGGGUUAAUUUUCUGUACCAUGUGGAUAAUGCAAAAGAAGAGUGAAGAAAUAUAAUUAUUGGUUGUAUUCAAAUCUGACUUAGAUUCCAAUAUAAUCUGGAAUAUACAUACCUAUGGUGGAGGAAUGCACGUUUCAUUGUGAUUCAGUUUGGAUGGAUUUAAUACUCUGUACAGUUUGGAAUAUACAAAGACAUAGUGAAUAAUUAUCAUUAUUUAAUGGAAUUAGUUUUAAAUACAUUUUCGAAUAUACAUAGAUAUAGUGUAGGAAUAUUAUUAUUACAGUUCCAUUACUAGGUCAUACAUGUUUACACGUUUUCAAACCAAAUUUUCUCUACUUGCAAAAUUACCUUUCUACUUUCUGAUUAUGUUUUGUUUUAGCUUGAGCUCACGUUUUUCUUAUACAAGAAAAAUUAAAAUAUGGAACCCUGAGUUAAGGUUACAAAACGCAAUCUUUAAUGUUUGCAAACAUGAUGUUUACGAAAACGAACUGUAGUUAGCAACUUUCUUCUUAUUUUUAAUAUGUAUUUAAAUCUGAUAUAAUGUUCAAAACUUUUGAGACAUACAUAUAUAACAUAAAGGAAUAUAAUAAUUGAUGAGUAGAUCGUGUUCUAAACCACAAUUUACCCAUUUAAUAGACUUUAAUUUACAAUUUGAAAACAAAUAAAUAUUUUUAGAAGACAAAAAUAUCAUGUACUGGCAGUAGAAGGUUAGGUUAUCACAAAUUCAAACAAUAUUACAGUCGAUAUAUGAGCUUGAGAAAAUUUGUCCUAAAAGAAACAGAUUUUGUUGUCAUUUUAAGGUAAUGACAGAGCGAUAGGAAUACAAUGUUCCUUUUAAACCAUAGAAAUAGAAUCGUCAUUUCUCGCUAGACAGGCUUUUACUUAUGUGGGAUGAAUGCCAGUUUUUGAAUGAAAAUUUCGUAGAGCAAGCAUAUUCAUUGAAAAGAUGAAUGUAUCUAUAAAAUCCUACAGAAUAUUUUGUUCUCUGUCGUCAAUCUGUUAAGCUUACAUAAACGCUGAAAUAAAUAAAGGUACACAUAUACUGAAUUCCAUGAAGUGCAUUAAGAGUUUCUUCAUUUAAAUGAACGUUCUUACAAGUUUCUUUGACAUGAGGAAAUGCACAUUCCAUUACACAUGACGGGAAUAUAUAUCAAAGUUAUUGUAAAAAGAUAUGGAACUUGGCGGCAACCACAUAAUAUAUGCGCACUAAUCGAGAAAAAAUGCAUGAAAACAUUCGACGAUUCCCUUGAAAUAGAAACAAACGAUUUACAUUACAAAAGACGUGCUAAUACAAAGUGUUUUAGUUCAUAACAUACGCCUAUCGUCCAUUUAUGGUCUGUACGUUGUUUCCUUUACAGCUGAAUAAUGUAAGAGAAAUUUCUCAAUCCGCAAAUACAUUUUUGUAAAAGUAUUAACAACAUACGCAACAAUUUCAUCAUAACAUUUUAAAAUAGAUAUAUUUCUUUAGUUUCUAACAUGUGAAAAAGAACACUAACAUAUUGUUAGAUGCAUUGAUUUUACUUAAAGUUCUUGUACAUAUUAUCGCAUGUUUCCUAAAUAGAUCCUUUUGGUGAACAAAGUCUUUUUCUGUCAUUUCUUUAAAAUCGUAUUUAAAUCAAAUUCUAUGAGAAGCUGAGUAUGGCACCGGGUAUUGUAUUUUUGCAAACAUUUUACAGAAUAAGCCUAUUCAGUUUAAAUUCAGAAAACUGACAUAUGCAUCAUUGUUUAUAAGAUAACCCAAAUUUUAAGAUAUUUUAGUAAAAACUAGUUCUGAGAAUAAUAUUGUAUUUCUUGGUGUACAAAAAAUUUAAGAUGAUGCACAUUUAUUGAUCCUCUGCUAAAAAUUUAUAACUGAAUACAGAAUGCAUUUUACAUUUAAUUGUAAGGUACUUGUUCUUACAAACAAACGCACAC